CCUCCCUUUCUUGGCACACACGCCGUUGGUCAGUACACGUGUGUGUAAUGUCCGGAGGAACAGUAUGUGCUGCCAGUGCUAUGUCUUCGGUGCCAGCGUGUGAUUUGUCUGCUGGUCCUAUCCUCAAUCACUGGCACACCU